GACGAACGCUGGCGGCGUGCUUAACACAUGCAAGUCGAACAGAAAGGCCCUGCUUGCAGGGUACUCGAGUGGCGAACGGGUGAGUAACACGUGGGUGAUCUGCCCUGCACUUCGGGAUAAGCCUGGGAAACUGGGUCUAAUACCGGAUAGGAGCCAUUUUUAGUGUGAUGGUUGGAAAGUUUUUUUCGGUGUAGGAUGAGCUCGCGGCCUAUCAGCUUGUUGGUGGGGUAAUGGCCUACCAAGGCGGCGACGGGUAGCCGGCCUGAGAGGGUGGACGGCCACAUUGGGACUGAGAUACGGCCCAGACUCCUACGGGAGGCAGCAGUGGGGAAUAUUGCACAAUGGGCGCAAGCCUGAUGCAGCGACGCCGCGUGGGGGAUGACGGCCUUCGGGUUGUAAACUCCUUUCGCUAGGGACGAAGCUUUUUGUGACGGUACCUAGAUAAGAAGCACCGGCUAACUACGUG
rnacentral:rRNA from 1 species